rnacentral:rRNA from 1 species
GACAGAGGGUGCAAACGUUGUUCGGAAUUACUGGGCGUAAAGCGCGUGUAGGCGGCCCUGCAAGUCGGGUGUGAAAUCCCACGGCUCAACCGUGGAAGUGCAUUCGAAACUGCAGGGCUAGAGUCCUGGAGAGGAAGGUGGAAUGCUUGGUGUAGAGGUGAAAUUCGUAGAUAUCAAGCGGAACACCGGUGGCGAAGGCGGAUCUCUGGGCCGAUACUGACGCUGAGGAGCGAAAGCGUGGGGAGCGAACAGG